CGCUUUUUUUAUUCACGCCGUUCGAUUGGCCCAUCAUUCAAUAGACCGUGGUGCAGUUGGAUCAUGUCUCCUCCCUUCGAAUGGAUCUAAUGACUACGCAUGAGUUGGACCAUCAUUCAAUCAUGCUUCUGUUAUUUCGAAGGUGGGGCAAACGCCGUGGGCAUGCUCAAUCAUGCGCGCCGUGGACCAAUAUAAUACGACGACCCAGAGUUCGUGUUAGUUCCGCACACGUGUACGGCCAACCCUGCUCCGGCUAAGAACAUCGACCUCCUUGGUUUAAUAGUUACUGACAAUGAAAACUUUGUUAGCUCUCCAAAAAAUUUCUAUGAAAAUAAGGAUAAUGCAUUA